GUGGCUGUGGCUCAGUGGCAGGGCGCUCGCCUAGCAUGUGCGAGGCCCUGGGUUUGAUCCUCAGCGUCACA
rnacentral:tRNA from 1 species